rnacentral:lncRNA from 1 species
CUUUUAUUGGCUCUUUUAAUAAGAUCUAAGAAUGAUUAUAAUAAUUUUUUCCUCUUACUUAUAUUUUUAUUAUUAUUAUUUUAAUUUCCAGAGCCUGAACCUGCUGCUUUGAAGAGAUCUUGGGACUGAAGGAGGGCUGAGGCAUUUCUAAGGCUUUCUCUAGUUGGAGUGAGCUGGUCUUGACCUGAAAGUCCUUCGUCUGCCACCAGUGGAUGCAUGGAGAACAGAGAGGCUUGUCUCCAAAGAGUGGUGGAACAAGAGGUGGAAACUGGAUACCAACCAUGUCUGUGUGGAGAAAAACAUCUUGUGCCCGUUUCUUCUUCCUCAUCUUCUCUCCUGUGAUCAUCUGCCACACACCUGCUCCUUCUCCAGGACUCAGGCCCGUCCUGUGCUCCUCUGCAUUUGGCCAAAGGAUGUUUUUAUUCCCAAGUUAAGGUUCUGGGCAAUGGCCACUUUGGUGGCCACAGCAAGGGGGUCAUGGGCACCUAAAUCUGAAAAUGUUUCUCCAACCUGUUAAAACCUUUUCCUGCUCUGUUGACUUUUGUGCUGAUACUGCUGUGCUCUCUGUAGGAGUGACAGGUGUCCUUUUGAGUAUAAACAUCCCUCAAAAUGUUUUACAAAAUCGUUAUGGAUGUAUUGAG